rnacentral:rRNA from 1 species
UACGUAGGGGGCGAGCGUUGUCCGGAUUUAUUGGGCGUAAAGAGCUCGUAGGCCGUUCGGUAAGUCAGAUGUGAAAACUCCAGGCUCAACUUGGAGAGGCCAUCUGAUACUGCUGUGACUAGAGUCCGGUAGGGGAGCACGGAAUUCCUGGCGUAGCGGUGAAAUGCGCAGAUAUCAGGAGGAACACCAGCGGCGAAGGCGGCUUCCUGGCCUAGUACUGACGCUGUGGCGCGAAAGCUAGGGGAGCAAACGGG